ensembl:lncRNA
GUAAUGCUGGAUUCAGGUCAGUUGGGAAUUACCACAGUUUACAAUGCCAAACUUAGAGUGGUGUUUCCUAGUGGGAAAUUUGGGAACACUGAAAUUUUUCAGACAGCACCAAAUGGUUCUUAGGGAACCAUCUUUCAGAGAUGCCAUUUUGCACAGCUAUCAACAUGCAAUCAGAGGUUUCACGUACCACUGACAUACUCUGCCCUCCCUCAUCUCAAACCCCAUUAUCCCAUGCCACAUUAUCCCACACCUUUCACUCCACAGCUCUUCAAGCCAUGACCUCUUGUCAGAUACCUCCCCAUUCUGUGUUCCUCUUCUGUCGUCCCUUCAUCCCAUGAGCCUUCAUUCCAUGUACCCUCAUCCCCCUCAUCCAACAUCACUUCAUUCCAAGUCCCCCUAUACCCAUGUCACAUCAUUCUAUGCCCCCUCAUUCCAUUACCUUAUUCCACACCUCCUCAUCCAACAACCCCUUAUCCCAUGUGCCAUCAUCCCAUCACCUCAUUCCACACCUCAUCAUUCAACGUCACCUCAUCCAACACCCGCUUAUCCCAUGUACCAUCAUCCCACAUCCCCUCAUCCAGCAACCACUCAUCCCAUGCUCCCUCAUCCAACGUCACAUAUUCCCAGACCUCCUCAUCCAGCGUCACAUCAUUCCAUGCCCCCUCACCCAAGGUCACCUCAUGCUCAUUCCACACCACAUCAUCCCAUGCCACCUCAUAUUAUGUUCCCUCAUCCCAUGUCCCCUCACCCCAUAUUCUUUUAUUCCACUCCUUCUAAUCCCAUGUCCCAUCAUUCCAUGCCACAUCAUUCUACAUCCCCCAUAGCACAGCAUCUCAAUCUUGUUGCCUCAUUAUAUGACCCAUGGCCUUUCAACCAACGGCUACGUCCUCUCAUCCCACACCCCCCAUCCAAUUUCCACACCAUCUCAUUUUUGUCGCCUCAUUCUAUGACCUAUUAUUCCAUGCCUCCUCAACCCACGUCAGCUCAUCCCAUGUCCCUUAAUCCCACCCCUCGAUUGAAGCCGCAUCAUUCAACAAACCCCUCUUUCUCAGCAUUCUACCCUGACCCCUGACUAAUUUCUGACUGCAGUUUGUAUGUAUUCAUCAAGUGGCCAUCACUGGUGGAAAAAGUAUGUGUCAAUCACACACACACCCCACCCCAGACACACAGCCACAAACACACACCUCUGUACCUCACAGUCAUGGUCCGAGUUGUCAGAGAACUGGCCACUGGAGUCUCUUCGCCUUGUCACCUCCAUUUCUGUCUU